rnacentral:rRNA from 1 species
GCGGUAAUUCCAGCUCCAAUAGCGUAUAUUAAAGUUGUUGCAGUUAAAAAGCUCGUAGUUGAAACUUGGGCCUGGCUGGCAGGUCCGCCUCACCGCGUGUACUUGUCCGGCCGGGCCUUUCCUUCUGGAGAACCUCAUGCCCUUCACUGGGUGUGUC